CUUGCCCACAGUCUCUUGUUGAGCUUCCUCCUCUUUGGAAGUUGUAGUUGUCAUCAUUAGGCCUCCAACCUUGUCCUUGUCCAUGACCUCAUCCUCUUGUGCGAUGUCCACCAUGACCUCGUCCUCGUUGGCUUUUAUUAUUGUGACUACUUUCUUUGUUGGUCAAAUUAACUUGUGUCUUGAUUAGUUGCUUCAUGAUCCCUUCCUUCUUCUUUUCUUUUCUUCAUAACCUUGUAAUGAGCCCAAAAGUUGCUUAAUGGUCAUGACCUCCAAGUCUUUUGUUUCUUCGAUGAUGGCGACAAUAUAUAUACUCAUACUUUGGAUCAAACUACCUGAGGAUUUCCUCCAUAAUUUUUACAUCAUCAAACUUUUCACCAUUUCUCUUAAGUUGAUUGGUG
rnacentral:lncRNA from 1 species